rnacentral:rRNA from 1 species
GAUCGCGGCGACGCCGGCGGUUCGCUGCCGACGACGUCGCGAGAAGUCCGCUGAACCUUAUCAUUUAGAGGAAGGAGAAGUCGUAACAAGGUUUCCGUAGGUGAACCUGCGGAAGGAUCAUUGCCGAU